UGGGGAAUAUUGCACAAUGGGCGCAAGCCUGAUGCAGCCAUGCCGCGUGUGUGAAGAAGGCCUUCGGGUUGUAAAGCACUUUCAGCGAGGAGGAAGGUGGUGAGCUUAAUACGCUCAUCAAUUGACGUUACUCGCAGAAGAAGCACCGGCUAACUCCGUGCCAGCAGCCGCGGUAAUACGGAGGGUGCAAGCGUUAAUCGGAAUUACUGGGCGUAAAGCGCACGCAGGCGGUUUGUUAAGUCAGAUGUGAAAUCCCCGGGCUCAACCUGGGAACUGCAUUUGAAACUGGCAAGCUAGAGUCUCGUAGAGGGGGGUAGAAUUCCAGGUGUAGCGGUGAAAUGCGUAGAGAUCUGGAGGAAUACCGGUGGCGAAGGCGGCCCCCUGGACGAAGACUGACGCUCAGGUGCGAAAGCGUGGGGAGCAAAACAGGAUUAGAUACCCUGGUAGUCCACGCUGUAAAACGAUGUC
rnacentral:rRNA from 1 species